GGGCCCGCACAAGCGGUGGAGUAUGUGGUUUAAUUCGAUGCAACGCGAAGAACCUUACCAGGGCUUAAAUGUAGUGGGACAGGUCUAGAGAUAGACCCUUCUUCGGACUCAUUACAAGGUGCUGCAUGGUUGUCGUCAGCUCGUGCCGUGAGGUGUCAGGUUAAGUCCUAUAACGAGCGCAACCCCUAUCGUUAGUUGCCAGCGAGUAAUGUCGGGAACUCUAACGAAACUGCCAGUGCAAACUGUGAGGAAGGUAAGGACGACGUCAAGUCAUCAUGCCCCUUACACUCUGGGCUACACACGUGCUACAUUGGCCGGUACAGAGAGCAGCCACUACGCGAGUAGGAGCGAAUCUACAAAACCGGUCUCAGUUCGGAUCGGAGUCUGCAACUCGACUCCGUGAAGCUGGAAUC
rnacentral:rRNA from 1 species